rnacentral:rRNA from 1 species
GGAACCCAACAUCUUUAAUAGGAUGUUACGAUUGUGUGAAUACAUAGCACAUUCGAGGUAGACGCAGAGAACUGAAACAUCUAAGUACCUGCAGGAAGAGAAAGAAAAUUCGAUUCCCUGAGUAGCGGCGAGCGAAACGGGAAAAGCCCAAACCAGCAAGCUUGCUUGUUGGGGUUGUAGGACUCCAAUAUGGUAGUUCUUUCAGAUAGUCGAAUGACUUGGAAAAGUCAGUCAAAGAGGGUAAAAACCCCGUAGACGAAAUGUGGAAGACACCUAGGAGGAUCCUGAGUACGGCGGAACACGAGAAAUUCCGUCGGAAUCCGGGAGGACCAUCUCCCAAGGCUAAAUACUCCCUAGUGACCGAUAGUGAACCAGUACCGUGAGGGAAAGGUGAAAAGCACCCCGGAAGGGGAGUGAAAUAGAACCUGAAACCGUGUGCCUACAACAAGUCAAAGCCCGUUAAUGGGUGAUGGCGUGCCUUUUGUAGAAUGAACCGGCGAGUUACGAUUGCAUGCGAGGUUAAGUUGAAGAGACGGAGCCGCAGCGAAAGCGAGUCUGAAUAGGGCGUUUGAGUAUGUAGUCGUAGACCCGAAACCAUGUGAUCUA